UACGGGGGGGGCAAGCGUUGUUCGGAAUUACUGGGCGUAAAGGGCUCGUAGGCGGCCAACUAAGUCAGACGUGAAAUCCCUCGGCUUAACCGGGGAACUGCGUCUGAUACUGGAUGGCUUGAGUUCGGGAGAGGGAUGCGGAAUUCCAGGUGUAGCGGUGAAAUGCGUAGAUAUCUGGAGGAACACCGGUGGCGAAGGCGGCAUCCUGGACCGAUACUGACGCUGAGGAGCGAAGGCCAGGGGAGCAAACGGG
rnacentral:rRNA from 1 species